UGGGGAAUAUUGGACAAUGGGGGCAACCCUGAUCCAGCAAUGCCGCGUGUGUGAAGAAGGUCUUCGGAUUGUAAAGCACUUUCGACGGGGACGAUGAUGACGGUACCCGUAGAAGAAGCCCCGGCUAACUUCGUGCCAGCAGCCGCGGUAAUACGAAGGGGGCUAGCGUUGCUCGGAAUGACUGGGCGUAAAGGGCGUGUAGGCGGUUUACACAGUCAGAUGUGAAAUCCCCGGGCUUAACCUGGGAGCUGCAUUUGAUACGUGUAGACUAGAGUGUGAGAGAGGGUUGUGGAAUUCCCAGUGUAGAGGUGAAAUUCGUAGAUAUUGGGAAGAACACCGGUGGCGAAGGCGGCAACCUGGCUCAUGACUGACGCUGAGGCGCGAAAGCGUGGGGAGCAAACAGGAUUAGAUACCCUGGUAGUCCACGCUGUAAACGAUGUGUGCUAGAUGUUGGGUAACUUUGUUAUUCAGUGUCGCAGUUAACGCGUUAAAGCACACCGCCUGGGGAGUACGGGCCGCAAGGUUG
rnacentral:rRNA from 1 species